AGUCUGUGUUUGAGCUGGACAGCGUGAAAUGUUGUUCUGAGUAGCAGUGAGACUGACUCUUCUGCUCUGUCUAGACUGUCCAAUAUUUAAGUGCACGAUUGUUGCGUCGCCGUACGCUUGUAUUUAAGGCCUUUGGCUGAACCCAGUGUUCGCGAUGCUCCGAGCUGUGGUUUCAAGCCCCUGAAGUCUCUGUAGUCGGCUACGAGGUUCUAGUAACUAUAUGGGAUUCAGAUUUCCUCCUUUCCCCUGACAGAUUAGCUACCUGUCACAGGAAACCACUGUAACAGUGGGAGGUUGUUGUUUGAUUGAAUUCAGACAAAAUUUGUGUUCACAAAUCGCCGCAUUUGUGAUUUUAAAGUCUGCAGUUGAAUCUGCUGUUGAGGGAUUUGUCACUUUGAUUCUUGUCUCUAUAGUCGGCUACGAAGUUCUAGUAACUAUAUGGGAUUCAGAUUUCCUCCUUUCCCCUGACAGAUUAACUACCUGUCACAGGAAACCACUGUAACAGUGGGAGGUUGUUGUUUGAAUGAAUUAAGACAAAAUUCGUGAUCACAAAUCGCCGCAUUUGUGAUUUUAAAGUCCGCAGUUGAAUCUGCUGUUUAAGGAUUUGUCACUUCGAUUCUUGUUCCUGUAAAUGAUUUUAUUGAACCAAUCUGCCUGAGCAGAUGGUGUAAAGUUCUAUGUUUGAGGGUGCAGACGCAGCCUGCUGUGAAAUGUUAACCCUUUGUUGUCAGUGGAGAGACUGACCCUUUGGCCUUAAGCAGAUAAGGCCCUUCAAGGAGGCAGAGCCUAAAGGCCCCUUCCUGCACACUUCCCAACUCCUCACAGCCACAAGAGGCUAGUUGGAUGACUGUUUCCUCUUCUCUUCUUCUUCUCCACUUGUGUUGAGCUUGUGCAGUUACCCCAACUCCAUACUGCCCCACAUGGUUGUUUUUGGUAUUGAGCUAACACUGCUAUUAUCUGCCUGCAGUAUCAGCCAGCUGUACUGCCUCUCUGUAGUCAGUGUGUAACACUCUACAGACAUAACUCAAG